CCCAGUAUUAACCCUGGUUAAAAGUCAAGAGACUUGCAACAGGGCACCUUUAAAUCUUAAAAUAAAUUCCACAGACCCCCUCAGUAUUAUUUUGCAAAUAAAUUACUCAAAAAAUUAACAUGUAUUAUGUGUAAAAUAAAUGUAGCUAUUUUAUUGGAGCCAGACAUAUAAAUUUUCUGAAAUUUUCAUGGAACUCGGGUUUGUGCUAUUAAAUUAGAUUUCAGUUGACAUGAUUUAUAGUCAUAAUAACUUUUAUAAUGUUGGAUAGCGAUUUCUAUCUCUGUAAUAAAAAUGAUAAAAUCAUGGACCCUGUGGCUAGGCUUCAUACACCCCUGGGGGUCCCUGGUCCCCACUUUAAAGACUAUAGCUAUACUAUACAAUUAGAAAAUCUGUUAAGAUAUGUAAGAAAUGAUUACGAUUAAGUGAACUGAGAAAUGCCUGUGACUUUUUAUUUUAUUGGAUAAAAAUCCAGAUGUGACUGGAAAAGCCCAAUGUGGAUCAUUUUAAUUAGGUACUUGCAGAACAGUUCCUAAAACUGUCUAAUAUCAAAUGUAAAACAAAUCUGGACUUAAAGUAACUUACAUUCUGCCUUUAAUAAAGGCAUCAUUUCGCGUCUCAUUACAAUCUGUAAUGAGUGGGUCGAUGAAGAAAUAAAUUAGUCCCUAAAUACCAGCAUUAGUUCUUAAAUACUAGUACAAGAAAGAAAUCCUCUAAAGCUAAGACGCCUUCAAAAAUAAUGAACGGAGCUAUUUAUUGACUGAAAGCAGUAAACAGUAAUGAACUAUAAACCAAAUCGAUAUUUGGCAUGCCCACACAUAGCCUUUAAAACUGCAUCAGUUCUCUCAGGUUUGCUUCUGCAGUUUUAUAAGGAGACAAUGUAGUAAUUUUUCCCAUGUGACGUGUCUAAUGUUAAUUAAGACGUGGAAGUAUCCAGCCCAAAAAUGUCCUCAAGUGAAAAUCAAAAAAGUUCUUAUGUUUAAAUCUAAUCAAGUAUUAAAAAGCAUACGUUUUUAGCUGAUGAAAUUAAGUAGGUCAGUGCAGAUGAGAAAUGGCUACGAUUCUUUAUCGGGAUUUUUCUACACUGAUGAGUUUUGAUUAGAAACUUGGAACUGAAACAUUGUUCUGUUGUAUACUGCACAGUUCAUUGGCUAGACGAGGGAAGAACAGACUGUCGUGAUUUGUAACGGGUACACUGAAGGUCUAAGAUUGUACAACUACUGCUAGUCAAUAUCAAUAACACUCAGGUAAUGUAUAAAUACUGUGAGGGGGUAAAAAAAAUUAUUUUUAUUAUCUAUGUGGGAACCCCACAAUGAUGGGAAUAUCUGACCAUUUUGAUCUUGUGGGGACAUUUGGAUGGUCCCCAGUAGGAAAACUGGGGUUAGAAAAUCUGCAAAAAAAUUUUUAAAAAGCUAAACGGCAAAAUAUUUUUGCAUUGGUCACUGAAAUUAAAGUUACGUUUAGGGAAAUUAGCUGCAUUAUUAAUAAUGUCAAAGGAAGGUCCUCAUAAGUACACUACAUUAUGACAAAUAUGUGUCUGUCUCUCUCUCUGUGUGUGUGUGUGUGUGUGUGUGUGUGUGUGUGUGUGUGUGUGUGUG
ensembl:lncRNA